rnacentral:rRNA from 1 species
UACGGGGGGGGCAAGCGUUGUUCGGAAUUACUGGGCGUAAAGGGCUCGUAGGCGGCCAACUAAGUCAGACGUGAAAUCCCUCGGCUUAACCGGGGAACUGCGUCUGAUACUGGAUGGCUUGAGAUUGGGAGAGGGAUGCGGAAUUCCAGGUGUAGCGGUGAAAUGCGUAGAUAUCUGGAGGAACACCAAUGGCGAAGGCAGCUCGCUGGGACGACACUGACGCUGAGACGCGAAAGCGUGGGGAGCAAACAGG